rnacentral:rRNA from 1 species
GAUGAACGCUGGCGGCGUGCCUAAUACAUGCCAGUCGAGCGAACGGACGAGAAGCUUGCUUCUCUGAUGUUAGCGGCGGACGGGUGAGUAACACGUGGAUAACCUACCUAUAAGACUGGGAUAACUUCGGGAAACCGGUGCUAAUACCGGAUAAUAUUUUGAACCGCAUGGUUCAAAAGUGAAAGACGGUCUUGCUGUCACUUAUAGAUGGAUCCGCGCUGCAUUAGCUAGUUGGUAAGGUAACGGCUUACCAAGGCAACGAUGCAUAGCCGACCUGAGAGGGUGAUCGGCCACACUGGAACUGAGACACGGUCCAGACUCCUACGGGAGGCAGCAGUAGGGAAUCUUCCGCAAUGGGCGAAAGCCUGACGGAGCAACGCCGCGUGAGUGAUGAAGGUCUUCGGAUCGUAAAACUCUGUUAUUAGGGAAGAACAUAUGUGUAAGUAACUGUGCACAUCUUGACGGUACCUAAUCAGAAAGCCACGGCUAACUACGUG